rnacentral:rRNA from 1 species
GACGAACGCUGGCGGCGUGCUUAACACAUGCAAGUCGAACGGAAGGGCCCUGCUUUUGUGGGGUGCUCGAGUGGCGAACGGGUGAGUAACACGUGAGUAACCUGCCCUUGACUUUGGGAUAACUUCAGGAAACUGGGGCUAAUACCGGAUAGGAGCUCCUGCUGCAUGGUGGGGGUUGGAAAGUUUCGGCGGUUGGGGAUGGACUCGCGGCUUAUCAGCUUGUUGGUGGGGUAGUGGCUUACCAAGGCUUUGACGGGUAGCCGGCCUGAGAGGGUGACCGGCCACAUUGGGACUGAGAUACGGCCCAGACUCCUACGGGAGGCAGCAGUGGGGAAAAUUGCACAAUGGGCGGAAGCCUGAUGCAGCAACGCCGCGUGCGGGAUGACGGCCUUCGGGUUGUAAACCGCUUUCGCCUGUGACGAAGCGUGAGUGACGGUAAUGGGUAAAGAAGCACCGGCUAACUACGUG